CUGCUGUGUGUGUGUGUGUGUGUGUGUGUGUGUGUGUGUGUGUGUGCAUGACGCGCGCGCGCGCGCGCAUGCCCCGCGCGCAUAUAC
rnacentral:pre_miRNA from 1 species